UUCCAGACUCCUACGGGAGGCAGCAGUGAGGAAUAUUGGUCAAUGGUCGGGAGACUGAACCAGCCAAGCCGCGUGAGGGAGGAAGGUACAGAGUAUCGUAAACCUCUUUUGUCAGGGAACAAAGACUGGGACGCGUCCCCGGAUGAGUGUACCUGAAGAAAAAGCAUCGGCUAACUCCGUGCCAGCAGCCGCGGUAAUACGGAGGAUGCGAGCGUUAUCCGGAUUUAUUGGGUUUAAAGGGUGCGCAGGCGGUCUGUUAAGCCGGGGGGCAAGCCCGGGGGCCCACCCCCGGCCCGCCGUUGAAACUGGCAGUCUCGAGUUGGAGAGAAGUAUGCGGAAUGCGCGGUGUAGCGGUGAAAUGCAUAGAUAUCGCGCAGAACUCCGAUUGCGAAGGCAGCAUGCCGGCUCCACACUGACGCUGAGGCACGAAAGCGUGGGUAUCGAACAGGAUUAGAUACCCUCGUAC
rnacentral:rRNA from 1 species